rnacentral:ncRNA from 1 species
UUUAUGUUUCGUCGCUACAUCUUAGAGGGACUUUGUGUGUUUAACACAAGGAAGCUUGAGGCAAUAACAGGUCUGUGAUGCCCUUAGAUGUUCUGGGCUGCACGCGCGCUACAGUGACACGAUCAACAAGUAUUUCCUUGCCCGGUAGGGUUAGGGUAAUCUUUCGAAAUCGUGUCGUGCUAGGGAUAGACGAUUGCAAUUAUUCGUCUUCAACGAGGAAUUCCUAGUAAAUGCAAGUCAUCAGCUUGCGUUGAUUACGUCCCUGCCCUUUGUACACACCGCCCGUCGCUCCUACCGAUUGAGUGAUCCGGUGAGCUGUCCGGACUGCGAUUAGUUCAGUUUCUGUUCUCUUCGCGGGAAGUUCUGCAAACCUUAUCACUUAGAGGAAGGAGAAGUCGUAACAAGGUUUCCGUAGGUGAACCUGCGGAAGGAUCAUUC